CACAGUUGAACCUGGCGCAGUAGUAAAUGGCUCCUGUUCCUGCAAGAAGAAAUAAAUAAAAUAAAUAUAUAUAUAUAACCUCGAAUCACAGCCAAUGGUACAGAUCGUCCUACUCUUGUAUUUACACAGCUUCGCAUCAAAUCAACCAGUUAAAUGAGACUUCGAAUUCAAGCUGAAUGCUGAUUGAUACAGUUUGUAUACAAGUUUUGAGUCUAAGACGUUAGACGUUUGAGUCUGAGCCUAGAAUCUGAAAGAUAAAACCAUUGACACAUUUAAGCUCGAGUCAAGUCCAAAGGAUGUUUUAACAAGGUUUUGACGACUCCCAUGAAUCAUUAUCAGGUGUUUCGUCUAUAGGAUUGGGAUGAAGCUAUUGAUACAUCCUUACUUCGUUUUUAGGGGAACUGCCACCAGAAGCUUGAUCUGAAACCUCGGGAUUUAUUUUCUGUACACAUCGUUACAGACUUUUGCCAGUCUACUUGCAGUAGUGGCCAAUGGCGCCAUGCCAACCUCUUCAAAAGCGCCAUUUUUUCCUGAGAUGUUUUGAAGGAGCGCAGAGACAAUCGAAAUCAAAUACACUAAGGAUCAAGACUGCCAAACAGACGGAUUGUUAAUGCAUGGUGUUUCGGAUAACGCUUUACUUAAAGUUGAUGUUAAGUGUAUUGGAGAAAAAGACUAGAUCAAUCGUUAAGACUUCAAGAAAAUAGCACGAAGAAUAGAACACUUCUGCGUCUGUUUGUCUUUAGGUUUUGCUCUGGUCAAUCUGUAUGUUUCUGUGUGUUAAUGAUUUUUUGUUUCUUAAGUAGCUCUUGGUUUUUGGAUAUGAUGACAUCAAUAUGUCGAACUUCAUAGCAAAUGGUUCUUAUAUUCGAUUUAGCUUAAACGACUAGUGGUGAAAAAUGUUUAUGCCGAUAGACUUCCGGUCAAAAGUAACUAGACAAGAUAAGGAAAGGCAAUAAUUCUCAUAGAAAAUAUGAUUUUUGAUAUUAAUUUUACUUUGAUUUCUGUAGUGGCACUGUACGUAUUGUUUUAUAGUUACAUGAUAACACGAUUGGCAGACCCUCUACGAUAUUAAUGCUCCCAUGGCAUAUUUUUAAAUAACAACUAAUAUGUUUAUAUCGAACCAUCGAUAUCUGGAGCUUAUUGUUUCGGUUUUACAUUUGUCUGUCAAUAUGUAUUAUAUAAUAUUAUAAUACUGCAUUAUA